rnacentral:rRNA from 1 species
UCGGUAAUUCCAGCUCCAGUAGCGUAUAUUAAAGUUGUUGCAGUUAAAAAGCUCGUAGUUGGAUUUCUGGCUUGAGACGCCUGGUCCGCCGAGGUUACUCGUGUGAGUACCGGUGUGUCUCUGCCAUCCUUCUGGAAAACGUUUCUACCCUUCAUUGGGCCGGGAUCGUGAUCCAGAUCAUUUACUUUGAAAAAAUUAGAGUGCUCAACACAGGCUUGCGCUAUGAAUACAUUAGCAUGGAAUAAUAAUUUAGGACUUUGGUUCUAUUUUGUUGGUUUCUAGGACUGAAGUAAUGAUUGAUAGGACCUGUUGGGGGUGCUAGUAUUUAUCGGCCAGAGGUGAAAUUCUUGGAUUCGAUAAAGACUAACUUAUGCGAAAGCAUUCACCAAGGAUGUUUUUUUUAAUCAAGAACGAAAGUUGGGGGAUCGAAGACGAUCAGAUACCGUCGUAGUCUCAACCAUAAACCGUGCCGACUAGGGAUUGGUGAACGUCUUUUUUUCGACUUCAUCAGCACCUUAUGAGAAAUCAAAGUUUUUGGGUUCCGGGGGGAGUAUGGUCGCAAGGCUGAAACUUAAAGGAAUUGACGGAAGGGCACCACCAGGAAUGGAGCCUGCGGCUUAAUUUGACCCAACACGGGAAAACUUACCAGGUCCAGACAUAAUAAGGAUUGACAGAUUGAAGAUCUUUCUUGAUUUUAUGGGUGGUGGUGCAUGGCCGUUCUUAGUUGGUGGAGUGAUUUGUCUGGUUAAUUCCGUUAACGAACGAGACCUCGACCUGCUAAAUAGUUCGGCGAAUUCUUCGGAAUUCGUACGUGACUUCUUAGAGGGACUAUCGGUGUGUAGCCGGUGGAAGUUCGAGGCAAUAACAGGUCUGUGAUGCCCUUAGAUGUUCUGGGCCGCACGCGCGCUACACUGACACGUUCAUCGAGCUUAUAACCUUGGCUGAGAGGUCUGGGUAAUCUUUAAAAACGUGUCGUGCUGGGGAUAGAUUAUUGCAAUUAUUAAUCUUGAACGAGGAAUUCCUAGUAAACGCGAGUCAUCAGCUCGCAUUGAUUACGUCCCUGCCCUUUGUACACACCGCCCGUCGCUACUACCGAUUGAACGCUUUAGUGAGUACCACGGACUGGUGCGUUUGGUUGGGUUUCCAGCCUUGCGUGUCGGAAAGUGGUUCAAACUUGAUCAUUUAGAGGAAGUAAAAGUCGUAACAAGGUAGCCGUA